GCCCCUGUGGUGAAAUUGGUAGACGCGCCGCACUCAAAAUGCGGUUCCGAGAGGAGUGUUGGUUCGAGUCCGACCAGGGGCACCA
rnacentral:tRNA from 1 species